rnacentral:rRNA from 1 species
AACGAACGCUGGCGGCAGGCUUAACACAUGCAAGUCGAGCGCCCCGCAAGGGGAGCGGCAGACGGGUGAGUAAUGCGUGGGAAUCUACCCAUCUCUACGGAAUAACGCAUGGAAACGUGUGCUAAUACCGUAUACGUCCUUCGGGAGAAAGAUUUAUCGGAGAUGGAUGAGCCCGCGUUGGAUUAGCUAGUUGGUGGGGUAAAGGCCUACCAAGGCGACGAUCCAUAGCUGGUCUGAGGGGAUGAUCAGCCACACUGGGACUGAGACACGGCCCAGACUCCUACGGGAGGCAGCAGUGGGGAAUAUUGGACAAUGGGCGCAAGCCUGAUCCAGCCAUGCCGCGUGAGUGAUGAAGGCCCUAGGGUUGUAAAGCUCUUUCACCGGUGAAGAUAAUGACGGUAACCGGAGAAGAAGCCCCGGCUAACUUCGUGCCAGCCGCCGCAGUAAAAC